CAUAGGUUUGGCUAAUUAUUUCACCUCGCGCCCCUUCCUCCUUCAUUUUGUACAUCGUUUCAUCUUAAUUCUCUCUCUCUCUCUCUUCCCUCUCUAUUCUAAGAAUCCUAUCCUCCCCAUCGUCGGCCCCACCUCCCUUUGCCCUGGCCCCCUUUGGCCUCGCCUCCCUCAGUCCCGGCCUCCUUUGGCCUCGUGCCUAGCCUCCCUUGGCCUCGGCCCCCUUUGGCCCCGCCUCUCUCAACCCCGACCCCC
rnacentral:lncRNA from 1 species